CCUACGGGAGGCAGCAGUGGGGAAUAUUGCACAAUGGGCGCAAGCCUGAUGCAGCGACGCCGCGUGGGGGAUGACGGCCUUCGGGUUGUAAACCUCUUUCGGUGGGGAGGAAGCUUGCCCUGGUUUGGGGUGGGUGACGGUACCUGCUAAAGAAGCACCGGCUAACUACGUGCCAGCAGCCGCGGUAAUACGUAGGGUGCGAGCGUUGUCCGGAAUUAUUGGGCGUAAAGAGCUCGUAGGCGGCGUGUCGCGUCGGAUGUGAAAGCCCGGGGCUUAACUCCGGGUUGGCAUUCGAUACGGGCAGGCUAGAGUUCGGUAGGGGAGACUGGAAUUCCUGGUGUAGCGGUGAAAUGCGCAGAUAUCAGGAGGAACACCGGUGGCGAAGGCGGGUCUCUGGGCCGAUACUGACGCUGAGGAGCGAAAGCAUGGGGAGCGAACAGGAUUAGAUACCCUGGUAGUCCAUGCCGUAAACGUUGGGCACUAGGUGUGGGCGCCUGUGUGGUGUCCGUGCCGCAGCUAACGCAUUAAGUGCCCCGCCUGGGGAGUACGGCCGCAAGGCUAAAACUCAAAGGAAUUGACGGGGGCCCGCACAAGCGGCGGAGCAUGUGGCUUAAUUCGACGCAACGCGAAGAACCUUAC
rnacentral:rRNA from 2 species